GAUGAACGCUAGCGGCAGGCCUAAUACAUGCAAGUCGAACGGUGUCUUCGGACAUAGUGGCGCACGGGUGCGUAACACGUAUGCAACCUACCUUACAUUGGGGGAUAGCCUUUCGAAAGGGAGAUUAAUACCGCAUAAGACAGUAAUUUGGCAUCAAGUAGCUGUUAAAGAUUUAUCGAUGUAAGCUGGGCAUGCGUCCAAUUAGUUAGUUGGUGAGGUAAUGGCUCACCAAGACGAUGAUUGGUAGGGGAACUGAGAGGUCAAUCCCCCACACUGGCACUGAGAUACGGGCCAGACUCCUACGGGAGGCAGCAGUAGGGAAUAUUGGGCAAUGGGCGCAAGCCUGACCCAGCCAUGCCGCGUGCAGGAAGAAGGCGUUCUGCGUUGUAAACUGCUUUUAUAUAGGAAGAAACGGCCCUUGCGAGGGACAUUGACGGUACUAUAUGAAUAAGCACCGGCUAACUCCGUG
rnacentral:rRNA from 1 species